AGUGAACGCUGGCGGCAGGCCUAACACAUGCAAGUCGAACGGCAGCACAGUUACUUCUUCCUCUUACCGGUUGCCAGUCGCGUACGUAUUACGUCUACAUCGGACUCUUCUUUUUCGUGAGGGCUCACGUAGCCACACUUAUGCUACUACCGCUUUCCACCUUCGAGUGAAAGCCCUUGUUCUUUCGCCCUUUCGCGUUUGCAUGUGCCGAUUUCGGAUUAGCUUGUUGGGGGGGUAAAGGCCCACCAAGGCGACGAUCCGUAGCUGGUCUGAGAGGAGGAACAGCCACACUGGAACUGAGACACGGUCCAGACUCCUACGGGAGGCAGCAGUGGGGAAUAUUGGACAAUGGGCGAAAGCCUGAUCCAGCAAUACCGCGUGGGUGAAGAAGGCCUUCGGGUUGUAAAGCACUUUUGUUGGGAAAGAAAAGCAGCAGGUUAAUACCGCGGUGGGAUGACGGUACCGAAAGAAUAAGCACCGGCUAACUACGUG
rnacentral:rRNA from 1 species